rnacentral:rRNA from 1 species
UACGGGGGGGGCAAGCGUUGUUCGGAAUUACUGGGCGUAAAGGGCUCGUAGGCGGCCAACUAAGUCGGACGUGAAAUCCCCAGGCUCAACCUGGGAACUGCGUCCGAUACUGGAUGGCUUGAAUCCGGGAGAGGGAUGCAGAAUUCCAGGUGUAGCGGUGAAAUGCGUAGAUAUCGGAAGGAACAUCAGUGGCGAAAGCGGCUUCCUGGUCCAGCACCGACGUUCAGGCACGAAAGCGUGGGGAGCAAACAGG